CUUUAGAGACUUCAAGCAAGAGAAAACAAAAUAGGUUUUACCAGACAAAACAAAAACAAUUGCCUUUAAGUCAAAACCUAAUUGUCACAAUAAUCUUUGAAAAAAUAACAGACAAGACAGAAUAUUUACAAUCUAUUCCCAUCAAUACAAAGCAAUGGUUUUCAGUACUAUCAAGCUAAAGCAUGUUCAAGAUUGAUACAAUGAGAGACUAUAAUGAGCUCAAACACAAGAUUGUCAAUUGUGUUUAUAGUUCAAUAUUUUCCAACCAUUGGUGCUUUUAUUUCACAGCUACCAUUGUUAGUUCUUGGUAGCCUUAUGUUUUCUGCAUCACAAGGCAGUACCAGAUUUCUUGCUCUUCCAAUUUAUUGCAUUUCUAUUUUCUAUUUCUACCAUAGCAUCUAGAAAUACUGGAAUAGCGUGAACAUAAUCCUUAACAUGGAUACAUGAUACCAUGAAACACAUGCUACGAGAACAUUUGCCAAAGAAGUGAAAAGGUUGGAGUAGAAUAUAAUUUUUAAUAAUUUAAAUGUAGUAGGACAGGCAUGCUGUUAGUUCCUUAACUACACAAUAUAAACUUGAAGAUAGUUUGAAGACCUUCCAACUUAGAAUGGUUAUAUAACCCAAGACAAUCAGCUAACACACAGUUUUAAUAAUGAAAUAAAAACUUCAAGACAACCCCCAUGAUUGUCGGACACCUGAAUUCCUAGAUUAUCGCCAAAUACUAAGAUUUUUUUUUACAACAAAGAAUCUUGAAAACAAGCCAACACUUGCAUUCCAUAUGCUCCCUUAGUACCUUUUCAUUUAAACAAAGCAUUUUCUGGGAUCUUUGUACCAUGAUAAUAAAUAACUUUUUCUACUCACUGCUGAUCAAUUUGGCAGAAUGUUUUCACAUAAAACAUAAACAGACAGAUGCAUACACCAUGCUAAUUGUAUCUAGGAAGAAAGACAGCUUACAAUUAAAUUAGCCGAGAAAAAAAGUAAAUCUUUGCCAUAUUUGGGCUAUUCAAAUGAUCAUCAUUUAUUUGUCUAUGAG
rnacentral:lncRNA from 1 species